AACGAACGCUGGCGGCGCGCCUAAUACAUGCAAGUCGAGCGAGAAGGUGUAGCAAUACACUUGUAAAGCGGCGAACGGGUGAGGAAUGCAUGGGUAACCUACCCUCGAGUGGGGAAUAACUAGCCGAAAGGUUAGCUAAUACCGCAUACGUUUCCGGAACUUCGGUUUCGGAAAGAAAGCAAUACCGUGGGUAUUGCGCUCCUGGAUGGGCUCAUGUCCUAUCAGCUUGUUGGUGAGGUAACGGCUCACCAAGGCUUCGACGGGUAGCUGGUCUGAGAGGAUGACCAGCCACACUGGGACUGAGACACGGCCCAGACUCCUACGGGAGCAGCAGUGGGGAAUAUUGCGCAAUGGGCGAAAGCCUGACGCAGCGACGCCGCGUGGGUGAUGAAGGCCUGGUCGUAAGACC
rnacentral:rRNA from 1 species